UAAAACUCCAAUCUUGCCUUUUUCCAGCCGAGAUGAUUGACAAGCUGACCUUGACGUUCAACCGCACCCGUCAAGCCGUCAUCACCAAGGAGCUUAUUGAGAUCAUCUCUGGUGCUGCUGCUCUGGAUUAAUCGGGAAAAGCGGUUCAGCCAAAUCCAAGAGGUGAAGAGGAGCUCUUCCGAGCAUAUGUGGUUUAGCCUGCCUGUGUCUGUGUUAACAAGACUGCUCUGUUAUCUUGUGAAGAAGUGGAAAAGCCCCAGAAAUCUGUAAAUUCUUACAAUAAACCACCUCCAUGAAACAGA